ensembl:misc_RNA
AAGAUUCCACAGUGGUUUGAUAACUAUGCAUAUAUAGGAUACCGAUUUGAGCCUCUCCGAAUUCUCUAAUAACCUCAACAGACUAGUCCAGACUCAAUAUACCUUCACCAGUGGCUUUGUUUCUCACAGCAUUUGCUAUCACC